CUUCAGUCUCUAAUCAUAUUAGCACUGUUCUUCCGUGGCUAGUGCUGUUAGUCACCGUCUUUCAGUGCACAAAAACAUUAGAUUUACCCCCCAAUAACAAUUUAUUUCCCGGCCCUUCUCUCUUCAACCUUCCUCACUCAUCUUCACCAACCCAUCCUCUUCUCAGUCUUUGAAGACCCACCGACUUGUUAUUGCUUGAAGACCAUCUACUUCUCACUGCUUGAAGAGAGGAUUGAAAUCACGUUAUACAUACCACUAUAGAAUACAGAAUCAGUAUGUAAUUUCAAUGCUCAAUUUCAUCGUUACUUUUCAUUUGUGUGUGUGGCUUCUUUUUAAUUUUUGCAUUUGUGUAAAUUAUAGGUAUGAUGGCAUAUUUUGAUUUGAUUUAUCAAUGUCGAUGAAAAUAAUAGUUGAAUUCAGGCGUUGGGAUAUUGGGUUUUGAUUAUGUGUGGUUUGUUCAAUUAAAUUUGGUAAAUCAAACGAGAUUGAUUUUAGGUUUUCUAUUUUCAGUUUUUGUGUUUUGCUUUUGGGGCCUCUAUUUUUCGUAUUGUUAUAAUUAUUUAGGAAAAUUGAUUGAUUUAUUGUUUUGUUUCCAGAUUUGAGUUAUAGUAUCCCUCGGUUGAUGUUCUACACAUGGUUAUUAAACAAUUUCAAUUUUGUUUCCAUAUUUGAGUUAUAAUAUUUCUUGGUAAUAAAUCAGUAUUUCCUCUGAUUGUAAUUAUGGUCUGAACUGCUGCAUCAGACUCCCACAUCGACAUCGAAAAACUUGACAUGCAGCCGUAGUUCUGGGUG
rnacentral:lncRNA from 1 species